rnacentral:tRNA from 1 species
GUGAUAGUUUAGCUAGUAGAGUAUGUGCCUGGUAAGCAGAAUGUCGCCAGUUUGAUUCUGGCUCGCA